GAUGAACGCUAGCGGCAGGCCUAAUACAUGCAAGUCGAACGGUGUCUUCGGACAUAGUGGCGCACGGGUGCGUAACACGUAUGCAACCUACCUUACAUUGGGGGAUAGCCUUUCGAAAGGGAGAUUAAUACCGCAUAAGACAGUAGCUGGGCAUCCAGCAGCUGUUAAAGAUUUAUCGAUGUAAGCUGGGCAUGCGUCCAAUUAGCUAGUUGGUGAGGUAACGGCUCACCAAGGCAAUGAUUGGUAGGGGAACUGAGAGGUCAAUCCCCAACACGGGCACUGGGAUACGGGCCAGACUCCUACGGGAGUCAGCAGUAGGGAAUAUUGGGCAAUGGACGCAAGUCUGACCCAGCCAUGCCGCGCGCAGGAUGAAGGCGUUAUGCGUUGUAAACUGCUUUUAUACAGGAAGAAACGACUCUUGCGAGAGGCAUUGACGGUACUGUAUGAAUAAGCACCGGCUAACUCCGUGCCAGCCGCCGCCGUAAAAC
rnacentral:rRNA from 1 species